UACGGGGGGAGCAAGCGUUGUUCGGAUUUACUGGGCGUAAAGGGCGCGUAGGCGGUCGUGACAAGUCACUUGUGAAAUCUCCGGGCUUAACUCGGAACGGUCAAGUGAUACUGUCGGACUAGAGUACAGAAGGGGCAACUGGAAUUCUCGGUGUAGCGGUGAAAUGCGUAGAUAUCGAGAGGAACACCUGCGGCGAAGGCGGGUUGCUGGGCUGAUACUGACGCUGAGGCGCGAAGCCAGGGGAGCAAACGGG
rnacentral:rRNA from 1 species